UCACUCCAAGCUCCCUCCCCUGUGAGAUUUUCGCUCAAACAAAGGCAGGUACCGGCGAUGCCUCCGGUCUCUAGCGACUUGUGAAUCCCAAAUUUACCGGCGGUAUCCCUCUUCUCCGACGAUUUCCUCUCAUAAAAGGACAAAAAAUAUUCUCGUUUUCGAUGAUGUGUACACUCCUGAAGUGAAAAUGAUUCAAGCUGGGUUAUGAAGGUGGUGUUAGAUGGCUAUUUCAUUUUUGGUCGUUGGUUUUACCGUUUUGCCCUUGAAGUGUACCUCUGUUGGAUUUGCAGAUUUGCCCCUCCCCCCACUUACUCACUAUCUCAUAACCACACCCAAAGAAUUUUUAUUGCUUUACAUAUGAGGUCUUAUAAAAACAAGUGCUUAACUACAAAGUCUUAUGAAUUUGAGUAUGUGUGACUUUGUGUGUAACUUUUUAUGCAUCUAAUAGCAACUUCCUUAAAAGCCGAUUAUAAUGUAUAACAGGUCUGAACAUUUGUGUAUACCACAUUACCACUUAACUUCAA